CGCUUUUUUUUUUUUUACAUGAGAAAAUCUAACGUUAACUUUAGAAACUGUCUUGGGAGAAGAAACAGGAAAAACCAUCUGUGGAUAAUUAAACAACUUUUGUCCAUGAAGCAUGAUGUUCAACCAGCAAGUUGGCCUGAAGACUGAUACAGUAGAGAGGAGAAAACUAAAGAUGGGUGAGGAGAGACAAAGAUAAAUCAUUUCCAUCCCACCACUGCAACUGGAGAGAAAGGAGAGCUGGUCCAGGAGAAACCUCAGCGUGAUCUGGGGUGCUCAAGGCUGGGAAUCCCCACACUACCUAGAAGUGUCAAGAAAUGAGGGAACUGAGGCUCUUUGUGGAUCAACUGCUCUGGAGAUUUUACCUGAGAUCCAGCAGACCUAAGAACCCGAGUGCUUCCUCUAAGGACCACCCACUUUACACCCACCCCAUUCCAAGCCUGUCUUAUUGAAGAAUGAACAGCAGUGGUAAAAAAGGGACUGAAUCUCAGACUCGCCUCUUUUCACCUGAAAGAAAAUAAUAUGCACAGAGUUCCUUGAAUGGGAAGGAUGAUGGCUGAAAUGGACUGAUGUGUUUAUGUAAAACUGGGACAUAAUUUUGCUCUGUAACUCAUUAGUCUGCAAACACUGACAAAUGUAAAGUUCAUGACACCUUCAAAAAGAUCUGUGUUCCUUAUUCACUGUCAUCUCAGAAGUUUGAGAGUCCAAUAUUUAAUUAAUCUGAAAAUCAUCACUGAGCCUGGGAACUAUCUGCUCAUGUUUAGAAAGGAAGGCUCACAAAGCCUAGGUUUGCCGCUGGUAUCAGGAACUUUGACAUCAGCCUGGGUGGGUGGGAGUGUGAUAGGGAAAGUCACAUACUCUCAGAGAACUUAGAGGCCUGGGUCCCUGAAUUCUUCCUCUGAAAGCAGCUCCAGAUGCUUCUCCCAGAGCUCUCCACUAAGGGGAACAUACAGCAUGAUCAAUCACUUAAGACAUAUUUAUUGAGUCCCUACUAUAUGCCAUGUACUAUUCUAGAUGUGACAGGUGCACAUUCUGCCUUUUUUUGUGUAAUUUUAGCUAAGAGACACAAUCUCUCAGAUUUCUGUUUCUCCCUCCACAACAUAAAGAUCAUGGGGUUUGACUUGAAUGGUCAAGUAAUUCCAGGUGAAGGAUAUUUGGCACUCCUAUGUAACCCACAUUAGUGAGCUCAGAGUAAGCAAGACAUCCCCCUCACUCACUAGUGACCAUAAAUGAGCUGACCCCAGACACAGAAGAGUGAGUGGCCUCAGGUGAGUUGUUUCCUUUCUUACCUAUCAUUUCCUUGUAAUAUUGAUAACAAUGAUAAUGUACCCACCUCAAACAGUUAGUGAGGAUUAAAGGGCAUGGAUAAUGUAAAUCACCCAGUGUAAGGUCUAGCAUCCUCAAUAAAUUGGGCUAUUACUAUAAAGUGCUUUGAGCUCUUCAAAUUAAAGGUAUGUGAAAUCCAAGUUACUUUCAGAUCCUUCCCAGUUUCCUGGAAUUCACCGUGUUCUAAUGGGCCUGAUAAGGAAAACACUCAACACAGCCGUCAAGGUCAGCAAACCGCUUUUUCCCUCUGGUUGGCAGAGCCCCACCCAGUUCCCUCCUGCCCUCCUCCAGGCUCCUGCUUUGCCCUGCGCAUGCCGAAAUGCCACAUAUCAAAAUAAUAUAAAUGCACCCCUUGCUUGUGCUCAGGGCUCAGACCUUGGGAAAUGACUCCUCUCUGAGCCCGCAGGUUUAAGAAUAAAACCUCAACAUUCCAAGACCUUCAAGUGCCGCUU